rnacentral:ncRNA from 1 species
UGUCGUGCUAAGCCCUCGCGGCGGACGAGCCGCGCGGGCCGCCUUGAAUUACAAUUUCCACCGGGCGGCGGACUGAAUCCUUUGCAGACGACUUAAAUACGCGACGGGGUAUUGUAAGUGGCAGAGUGGCCUUGCUGCCACGAUCCACUGAGAUUCAGCCCUUCGUCGCUCCGAUUCGU